rnacentral:rRNA from 1 species
CAGUAGCCGCGGGAAUACGGAGGGGGCUAGCGUUGUUCGGAAUUAUUGGGCGUAAAGGGCUCGCAGGCGGUUUCUUAAGUCUGAUGUGAAAGCCCCCGGCUCAACCGGGGAGGGUCAUUGGAAACUGGGAAACUUGAGUGCAGAAGAGGAGAGUGGAAUUCCACGUGUAGCGGUGAAAUGCGUAGAGAUGUGGAGGAACACCAGUGGCGAAGGCGACUCUCUGGUCUGUAACUGACGCUGAGGAGCGAAAGCGUGGGGAGCGAACAGGAUUAGAGACCCCGGUAGUCCCUGUCUCUUAAAC